rnacentral:rRNA from 1 species
AACGAACGCUGGCGGCAUGCCUAACACAUGCAAGUCGAACGGGAUCCACCUUUCGGGGUGGUGAGAGUGGCGGACGGGUGAGUAACGCGUGGGAACCUGCCCAGUGGUGGGGGAUAACUGCGGGAAACUGCAGCUAAUACCGCAUGAGCCCGAGAGGGGAAAGAUUUAUCGCCAUUGGAGGGGCCCGCGUUCGAUUAGGUAGUUGGUGGGGUAAUGGCCUACCAAGCCGACGAUCGAUAGCUGGUCUGAGAGGAUGAUCAGCCACACUGGGACUGAGAUACGGCCCAGACUCCUACGGGAGGCAGCAGUGGGGAAUAUUGGACAAUGGGGGCAACCCUGAUCCAGCAAUGCCGCGUGAGUGAUGAAGGCCUUCGGGUUGUAAAGCUCUUUUGCCAGGGACGAUGAUGACGGUACCUGGAGAAUAAGCCCCGGCUAACUUCGUGCCAGCAGCCGCGGUAAUAC